GAGCUCAGGGGCAGAGCAGCUGCUUGGCAUGCAGAAGGACCCCCCCACCAGGUCCAAUCCCUGGCAACUCCA